GCUGGGUGCAGUGGCGCAUGCCUGUAGUCCCAGCUACUCGGGAGGCUGAGGUGGGAGGAUCACUUGAGCCCAGAAGUUCUGGGCCGUAGUGCACUACGCCAAUUGGGUGUCCGCACUAAGUUCGGCAUCAAUAUGGUGACCUCCCGGGAGCGGGGGAACAUCAGGUUGCCUAAGGAGGGGUGAACCGGCCCAGGUUGGAAACAGAGCAGGUCAAAACUCCCGUGCUGAUCAGUAGUGGGAUUGCGCCUGUGAGUAGCCACUGCACUCCAGCCUGUGCAAAAUAUCGAGACCCCGUCUCU
rnacentral:SRP_RNA from 1 species